GACGAACGCUGGCGGCGUGCCUAAUACAUGCAAGUCGAGCGGACUUGAAGGAGUGCUUGCACUCCUGAGAGUUAGCGGCGGACGGGUGAGUAACACGUAGGCAACCUGCCCUCAAGACUGGGAUAACUACCGGAAACGGUAGCUAAUACCGGAUAAUUUAUUACAUAGCAUUAUGUGAUAAUGAAAGACGGAGCAAUCUGUCACUUGGGGAUGGGCCUGCGGCGCAUUAGCUAGUUGGUGGGGUAACGGCCCACCAAGGCGGCGAUGCGUAGCCGACCUGAGAGGGUGAACGGCCACACUGGGACUGAGACACGGCCCAGACUCCUACGGGAGGCAGCAGUAGGGAAUCUUCCGCAAUGGGCGAAAGCCUGACGGAGCAACGCCGCGUGAGUGAUGAAGGUUUUCGGAUCGUAAAGCUCUGUUGCCAAGGAAGAACGUCUCAUAGAGUAACUGCUAUGAGAGUGACGGUACUUGAGAAGAAAGCCCCGGCUAACUACGUG
rnacentral:rRNA from 1 species